rnacentral:rRNA from 1 species
GUGGGGAAUUUUGCACAAUGGGCGCAAGCCUGAUGCAGCGACGCCGCGUGAGGGAUGGAGGCCUUCGGGUUGUGAACCUCUUUCGCUCAUGGUCAAGCCGCAGUUUUGUCUGUGGUGAGGGUAGUGGGUAAAGAAGCGCCGGCUAACUACGUGCCAGCAGCCGCGGUAAUACGUAGGGCGCGAGCGUUGUCCGGAAUUAUUGGGCGUAAAGGGCUUGUAGGCGGCUUGUCGCGUCUGCCGUGAAAUCCUCUGGCUUAACUGGGGGCGUGCGGUGGGUACGGGCUGGCUUGAGUGCGGUAGGGGAGACUGGAAUUCCUGGUGUAGCGGUGGAAUGCGCAGAUAUCAGGAGGAACACCGGUGGCGAAGGCGGGUCUCUGGGCCGUUACUGACGCUGAGGAGCGAAAGCAUGGGGAGCGAACAGGAUUAGAUACCCCUGUAGUCC